rnacentral:rRNA from 1 species
AUUGAACGCUGGCGGCAUGCCUUACACAUGCAAGUCGAACGGCAGCACGGGUGCUUGCACCUGGUGGCGAGUGGCGAACGGGUGAGUAAUACAUCGGAACAUGUCCUGUAGUGGGGGAUAGCCCGGCGAAAGCCGGAUUAAUACCGCAUACGAUCUACGGAUGAAAGCGGGGGACCUUCGGGCCUCGCGCUAUAGGGUUGGCCGAUGGCUGAUUAGCUAGUUGGUGGGGUAAAGGCCUACCAAGGCGACGAUCAGUAGCUGGUCUGAGAGGACGACCAGCCACACUGGGACUGAGACACGGCCCAGACUCCUACGGGAGGCAGCAGUGGGGAAUUUUGGACAAUGGGCGAAAGCCUGAUCCAGCAAUGCCGCGUGUAUGAAGAAGGCCUUCGGGUUGUAAAGCACUUUUGUCCGGAAAGAAAUCCUUGGCCCUAAUACGGUCGGGGGAUGACGGUACCGGAAGAAUAAGCACCGGCUAACUACGUG